rnacentral:rRNA from 1 species
GACGAACGCUGGCGGCGUGCUUAACACAUGCAAGUCGAACGGAAAGGCCCUGCUUUUGUGGGGUGCUCGAGUGGCGAACGGGUGAGUAACACGUGAGUAACCUGCCCUUGACUUUGGGAUAACUUCAGGAAACUGGGGCUAAUACCGGAUAGGAGCUCCUGCUGCAUGGUGGGGGUUGGAAAAUUUCGGCGGUUGGGGAUGGACUCGCGGCUUAUCAGCUUGUUGGUGGGGUAGUGGCUUACCAAGGCUUUGACGGGUAGCCGGCCUGAGAGGGUGACCGGCCACAUUGGGACUGAGAUACGGCCCAGACUCCUACGGGAGGCAGCAGUGGGGAAUAUUGCACAAUGGGCGGAAGCCUGAUGCAGCAACGCCGCGUGCGGGAUGACGGCCUUCGGGUUGUAAACCGCUUUCGCCUGUGACGAGGCGUGAGUGACGGUAAUGGGUAAAGAAGCACCGGCUAACUACGUG